GGCCGUAGCCCAGCGGGAAAGAGCGCCUGCUCCGCAUGCAGAAAGUCCCUGGUUCGAUUCCCAAACGCUGCGCCU